UAGGAAUCUUCCACAAUGGACGAAAGUCUGAUGGAGUAACGCCGCGUGAGUGAAGAAGGUUUUCGGAUCGUAAAGCUCUGUUGUUGGUGAAGAAGGAUAGAGGUAGUAACUGGCCUUUAUUUGACGGUAAUCAACCAGAAAGUCACGGCUAACUACGUGCC
rnacentral:rRNA from 1 species